rnacentral:rRNA from 1 species
AACGAACGCUGGCGGCAUGCCUAACACAUGCAAGUCGAACGAGACCUUCGGGUCUAGUGGCGCACGGGUGCGUAACGCGUGGGAACCUGCCCUUAGGUUCGGAAUAACUCCCCGAAAGGGGUGCUAAUACCGGAUAAUGUCUUCGGACCAAAGAUUUAUCGCCUUUGGAUGGGCCCGCGUUGGAUUAGCUAGUUGGUAGGGUAAAAGCCUACCAAGGCGACGAUCCAUAGCCGGUCUGAGAGGAUGAUCAGCCACACUGGGACUGAGACACGGCCCAGACUCCUACGGGAGGCAGCAGUGGGGAAUAUUGGACAAUGGGCGAAAGCUUGAUCCAGCAAUGCCGCGUGAGUGAUGAAGGCCUUAGGGUUGUAAAGCUCUUUUACCCGGGAUGAUAAUGACAGUACCGGGAGAAUAAGCUCCGGCUAACUCCGUG